ensembl:piRNA 21ur-2365 ncRNA
UAAUGACACUAUCUUUGGAAA